UACGUAGGGUGCAGGCGUUAAUCGGAAUUACUGGGCGUAAAGCGUGCGCAGGCGGUUUCUUAAGUCAGAUGUGAAAUCCCCCGGGCUCAACCUGGGAACUGCAGUCGAGACUGUCUAGCUAGAGUAUGGGAGAGGGAAGUGGAAUUUCAGGUGUAGCGGUGAAAAUGCGUAGAUAUCUGAAGGAACAUCAGUGGCGAAAGCGACUUCCUGGACCAAUACUGACGCUCAUGUGCGAAAGCGUGGGGAGCAAAC
rnacentral:rRNA from 1 species